CACGUAGGGCGCAAGCGUUGUCCGGAAUUAUUGGGCGUAAAGAGCUCGUAGGCGGUCUGUUGCGUCCGCUGUGAAAACUCGGGGCUUAACCCCGAGCCUGCAGUGGAUACGGGCAGACUAGAGGUAGGUAGGGGAGAAUGGAAUUCCCGGUGUAGCGGUGAAAUGCGCAGAUAUCAGGAGGAACACCGGUGGCGAAGGCGGGUCACUGGUCCGGUUCUGACGCUGAGGCGCGAAAGCGUGGGGAGCAAACAGG
rnacentral:rRNA from 1 species